UUACUCGAGCCUGCUUAAUCUCAGCUGGCAAUCUGUGAUGUCAUAAUCAUCACGGGGCAAGAUGGGAUUUUGCUGACUAAGGGUUUAACGACUCAGCGUAUUAU
rnacentral:pre_miRNA from 1 species